AAAAGGGGGAAAAUGGGGGGAAAAAAGACACUGCUUUACACCAAAGGUUUAAAAAACAUUUUCCAAAUGCACUAAGAACAUUGUAAAAAAAAAUAAUAAUAAUAAUGAAUCAACAGAAAGCUAAUUAAGGUACUGUCCUAAAAAAAAAAAAAAUCAUGUUAGGAAAAAAAAAGCACUACUCAAAUACUUAUUAGGUUUUUGGUUUUUCUUUUCUUUUUUGGAAAUUGAAGUAGAACAUUUCUGUAGGUAUAUGUAAAAUUCUGACUUUGAAUUUUAAUUUGCUUUUAAAAGUGCUUUUUGUGAUAAAGAUAAAUAUCUAAAAUAAUGAAAAGCAAAACUUUAUGUCCUUUGAGUUCCAGAACCAAAUGUCACUCCCCUGUAACAUGUCUUCUAAUCUGAUGCCCAUUUGUGUGUUUGCACCAUUUGAAGCAAGUUGACGGUCUCAUCAGCUUGUAUCGUUUCCUUUUUGGUUCAAUAAUUUAAAUUCAACUAUCGUCAUUUAAAACAUAAUUAAUUCAAACAAAGUUGACUAUAAUUUAAAUUCCAUAACAUUUUAAAUUUGUCUUUGCAUGGGUGUUUAAAUACUCGUAGUUUUGUUGUGAAUAUUGUCCUUGCACAGUUCUGAUUUUUCCUUUUAUAAAAGGUGAUAUUCUAGUUUCUUCACAGUGUAGUUAUUAUCAGCCUUACUAAUUACCUUGUAGCCUUUCUUAAUAUGCACAUAAUGCACAUUUUCCAGUGGCUAGAAAAUGCAAAACAAAGUGGAUAUCAUUGCAUCUAUUUUCAUGUCUUUCUAAAAACAGGACUACUAAAAUCUCUGGGAUACAUGAGAUAGUAAAAAAUGAGGAUUAUAAAGGAAUAGCACAUAAGAAUUAUUUUCUUGAAUUUAAACUUAUUGCAGCCAGUUUCAGCAUGUAAAUAUAUAAUGUUGGCUAGUGUGUAAUUCUUGAACUAAGAAAUAUAAAUAAAAAUUAAAAGGUUG